rnacentral:rRNA from 1 species
GUAAAGAGCCAUAUCUCUCUGGAGUUCUCGCCUGGUUUCAUACUGAAUCUAAGCAGGGUUGAGCCUGGACAGUAUCUGGAUGGGAGACCCCCUGGGGAAAACUAAGGUUGCUGUUGGAA